GACGAACGCUGGCGGCGUGCUUAACACAUGCAAGUCGAACGGUGAAGGGGCCUGCUUUUGUGGGUCCUGGAUGAGUGGCGAACGGGUGAGUAACACGUGAGUAACCUGCCCCCUUCUUCUGGAUAACCGCAUGAAAGUGUGGCUAAUACGGGAUAUUCUGGGUCUGUCGCAUGGUGGGCCUGGGAAAGAUUGCGCCUUUUUUGGUGUUUUUGGUGGGGGAUGGGCUCGCGGCCUAUCAGCUUGUUGGUGGGGUGAUGGCCUACCAAGGCGGUGACGGGUAGCCGGCCUGAGAGGGUGGACGGUCACACUGGGACUGAGACACGGCCCAGACUCCUACGGGAGGCAGCAGUGGGGAAUAUCGCACAAUGGGCGCAAGCCUGAUGCAGCGACGCCGCGUGAGGGAUGGAGGCCUUCGGGUUGUGAACCUCUUUCGCCAGUGAAGCAGGCCUGCCUCGUUUGUGGGUGGGUUGA
rnacentral:rRNA from 1 species